AGGCGGCCACAGGCGGUGGCAGCGCUGCUGCCCUGCAGCGUGCUGGGCACGGGAGAGGGCCGCAAAGGGGGCACCGGAUGGCAGCACGACCAUGGGGGUGAGGUGCGGGGUUGGGCGCAGGGGAAACCGAGCGGCGCCGUGCGCCAGAGGCGAAGGAGAGGGCCGGCCAUGGAUGCUGCUCGUCGGAGAAGACAAAUAAAUAUCAGGGACACAACGAACGAGUAUGAAUUCGUGAAACAAAUGGCGUGCCGGUGUAGAGGACGACGAGACAAACCUCAGAGUGGUGACGGUUUUCGCAGAGGAUGCCGGAGAUGGUCGGAGAACCUCGCCGAAGCUUCGCCGGAAAAGUUCGCCGGAAACGAGAUCCGAAACUUCGGCGAUCGAUCUACGGGGCUACGAGCGGCGGCUCGAAAAAAG
rnacentral:lncRNA from 1 species